GACCUGGUGGUGAAUGGUUCACACCCACUUUCCUUGAAGCUGUGUCUUGAUGCCACUUGUGCGUGAGUUCCCGGUUCGAAUCCGGGCUGGGUUA